rnacentral:tRNA from 1 species
AGUCGUAUCUACUGUGAUAAGAAAGCGUUCUUAGUUCAGUUCGGUAGAACGUGGGUCUCCAAAACCUGAUGUCGUAGGUUCAAAUCCUACAGAGCGUGA